rnacentral:lncRNA from 1 species
GUACAAUCAUCAGCAUGUUGGAAAAGUUUUAUUGGAUCUUUUAAAUUUGGAAUGUUAAUGCCUUUUAUGUUUUUAUUUCUUCUUAUUGAGCUUGCCAGUGUUUCAAUAGCUAAGGCAUAUAAAUUCAUAGAGAGCGGACAGCCUUGUCUAACUGAUCUUGUAAUUAAAAUUUCUUCUGUUAACUGACCAUUGACUUGUAUUUUACUUUUUAUAUCUUUAUAUAGUAUCUUAAUCCAUCUUACGAAUUCUACUGGUAGGUUCAUUUUCUUUAAAACUUU